CAGCAGCCGCGGGAAUACGUAGGUCCCGAGCGUUGUCCGGAUUUAUUGGGCGUAAAGCGAGCGCAGGCGGUUUGAUAAGUCUGGUGUUAAAGGCUGUGGCUCAACCAUAGUUCGCUUUGGAAACUGUCAAACUUGAGUGCAGAAGGGGAGAGUGGAAUUCCAUGUGUAGCGGUGAAAUGCGUAGAUAUAUGGAGGAACACCGGUGGCGAAAGCGGCUCUCUGGUCUGUAACUGACGCUGAGGCUCGAAAGCGUGGGGAGCAAACAGGAUUAGAUACCCCCGUAGUCCCUGUCUCUUAUACC
rnacentral:rRNA from 1 species